rnacentral:rRNA from 1 species
UUGAACGCUGGCGGCAGGCCUAACACAUGCAAGUCGAGCGGAUGAAGGGAGCUUGCUCCUGGAUUCAGCGGCGGACGGGUGAGUAAUGCCUAGGAAUCUGCCUGGUAGUGGGGGAUAACGUCCGGAAACGGGCGCUAAUACCGCAUACGUCCUGAGGGAGAAAGUGGGGGAUCUUCGGACCUCACGCUAUCAGAUGAGCCUAGGUCGGAUUAGCUAGUUGGUGGGGUAAAGGCCUACCAAGGCGACGAUCCGUAACUGGUCUGAGAGGAUGAUCAGUCACACUGGAACUGAGACACGGUCCAGACUCCUACGGGAGGCAGCAGCGGGGAAUAUUGGACAAUGGGCGAAAGCCUGAUCCAGCCAUGCCGCGUGUGUGAAGAAGGUCUUCGGAUUGUAAAGCACUUUAAGUUGGGAGGAAGGGCAGUAAGUUAAUACCUUGCUGUUUUGACGUUACCAACAGAAUAAGCACCGGCUAACUUCGUG